rnacentral:rRNA from 1 species
AGAGUUUGAUCAUGGCUCAGAUUGAACGCUGGCGGCAGGCCUAACACAUGCAAGUCGAGCGGUAGAGAAGAAGCUUGCUUCUUCUUGAGAGCGGCGGACGGGUGAGUAAUGCCUAGGAAUCUGCCUGGUAGUGGGGGACAACGUUUCGAAAGGAACGCUAAUACCGCAUACGUCCUACGGGAGAAAGUGGGGGAUCUUCGGACCUCACGCUAUCAGAUGAGCCUAGGUCGGAUUAGCUUGUAGGUGAGGUAAUGGCUCACCUAGGCAACGAUCCGUAACUGGUCUGAGAGGAUGAUCAGUCACACUGGAACUGAGACACGGUCCAGACUCCUACGGGAGGCAGCAGUGGGGAAUAUUGGACAAUGGGCGAAAGCCUGAUCCAGCCAUGCCGCGUGUGUGAAGAAGGUCUUCGGAUUGUAAAGCACUUUAAGUUGGGAGGAAGGGUUGUAGCUUAAUACGCUGCAACUUUGACGUUACCAACAGAAUAAGCACCGGCUAACUCUGUGCCAGCAGCCGCGGUAAUACAGAGGGUGCAAGCGUUAAUCGGAAUUACUGGGCGUAAAGCGCGCGUAGGCGGCUUGAUAAGAUGGGUGUGAAAUCCCCGGGCUUAACCUGGGAACUGCAUCCAUAACUGUCUGGCUAGAGUACAGUAGAGGGUGGUGGAAUUUCCUGUGUAGCGGUGAAAUGCGUAGAUAUAGGAAGGAACACCAGUGGCGAAGGCGACCACCUGGACUGAUACUGACGCUGAGGUGCGAAAGCGUGGGGAGCAAACAGGAUUAGAUACCCUGGUAGUCCACGCCGUAAACGAUGUCAACUAGCCGUUGGAAUCCUUGAGAUUUUAGUGGCGCAGCUAACGCACUAAGUUGACCGCCUGGGGAGUACGGUCGCAAGAUUAAAACUCAAAUGAAUUGACGG